GGGAGGGGGUGACUAGUGACAAAGAUAGGGAGGGAGUUACUAGUGACAGAGUGAGGGAGGGAGUGACUAGUGACAGAGGGAGGGAUGGGGUGACUAGUGACAGUCACCACCUCCUUCACUCUGUCACUGUGUCACUGGGGUGCCCUUCCUCACUCUGUCACUGUGUCACCCCUUCCUCACUCUGUCACUAGUCACCCACUCCCUCCCUCACUCUGUCACUAGUCACCCCCUCUCUC
rnacentral:sRNA from 1 species